UACGUAGGCAGCGAGCGUUGUUCGGAGUUACUGGGCGUAAAGGGUGUGUAGGCGGUUCUUUUAAGUUUGGUGUGAAAUCUCCUGGCUCAACUGGGAGGGUGCGCCGGAAACUGGAGUGCUUGAGCGUGGGAGAGGAAAGCGGAAUUCCUGGUGUAGCGGUGAAAUGCGUAGAUAUCAGGAGGAACACCUGUGGUGUAGACGGCUUUCUGGACCAUAGCUGACGCUGAGACACGAAAGCGUGGGUAGCAAACAGG
rnacentral:rRNA from 1 species